rnacentral:rRNA from 1 species
UACGGGGGAGCAAGCGUUGUUCGGAUUUACUGGGCGUAAAGGGCGCGUAGGCGGCGCAACAAGUCACUUGUGAAAUCUCCGGGCUUAACCCGGAGCGGCCAAGUGAUACUGUCGUGCUAGAGUGCGGAAGGGGCUACUGGAAUUCUCGGUGUAGCGGUGAAAUGCGUAGGUAUCGAGAGGAACACCGGUGGCGAAGGCGGCUCUCUGGACCACAUCUGACGCUGAGGCGCGAAAGCUAGGGGAGCAAACAGG